rnacentral:rRNA from 1 species
AGAGUUUGAUCCUGGCUCAGGACGAACGCUGGCGGUGUGCUUCACACAUGCAAGUCGAACGGGGUAGCAAUACCCAGUGGCGGACGGGUGAGUAACACGUAGGAAUCUGCCUCAGAGUGGGGGAUAACUGACCGAAAGGUUAGCUAAUACCGCAUAUGUCGAAAGAUAAAAGGAGUAAUCCGCUAUGAGAUGAGCCUGCGUCCGAUUAGCUAGUUGGUAGGGUAAAGGCCUACCAAGGCUACGAUCGGUAGCUGGUCUGAGAGGAUGAUCAGCCACAAUGGAACUGAGACACGGUCCAUACUCCUACGGGAGGCAGCAGUGGGGAAUUUUACGCAAUGGGCGAAAGCCUGACGUAGCGACACCGCGUGAACGAAGAAGCCUUUUGGGGUGUAAAGUUCUGUCGGCAGGGACGAAAAAAAUGACGGUACCUGCAGAGAG